ACAAGCAAAUGAACUCGCAGCCCUGCAGACAGAAGAGCUGCCCACAGUACGGUUUUUCCAGCUGGUGGCAGCCUCUUAGAGGCCUUCCCUGGCCCAGGGAGUUUUCUGUCACAGUCCCUAACGUUAGGGGUGGGUGCGAAUUCUAGAGAGCUGGCCUGAAGUCGUGUCUCGGGCCAUUCUGGCCACCAUCUGGGAAACAUGCUUCUUCCACCCUGCAUGCCUUCCCCAUGGAUGCUCCUCUCUCCAGCCUUGUCCCUGGUUCAAGGAGGGCUGGUAGGAAUCUCAGGUUGACUGUCUUAGCAGGUUGGGGCAAAAAGGAAGCAGGAUGAGAGGUGUGCAGAGCCCAGCAUGACAGCUCUACAGAUCACACUGUUCCCAUGUCCCCAGAGAGGUGUCCACUAUGCCAAAUGAUUCCUGAGAGUCUGAGUUAGAUGUCCUUCACAGAACAACAAAGGGAUGGCCAGG